GACGAACCGAGCGAACGUUGUUCGGAAUCACUGGGCUUAAAGGGCGCGUAGGCGGGCUGUCAAGUCUGGGGUGAAAUCCCGCGGCUCAACCGUGGAACUGCCUCAGAUACUGACGGUCUCGAGGGAGGUAGGGGCGAGCGGAACUGAUGGUGGAGCGGUGAAAUGCGUUGAUAUCAUCAGGAACACCGGUGGCGAAGGCGGCAUCCUGGACCGAGAUUGACGCUGAGGCGCGAAAGCCAGGGGAGCAAACGGG
rnacentral:rRNA from 1 species